rnacentral:rRNA from 1 species
GACGAACGCUGGCGGCGUGCCUAAUACAUGCAAGUGGGACGCAAGGGAACACACUGUGCUUGCACACCGUGUUUUCUUGAGUCGCGAACGGGUGAGUAACGCGUAGGUAACCUGCCUAUUAGCGGGGGAUAACUAUUGGAAACGAUAGCUAAUACCGCAUAAUAUUAAUUAUUGCAUGACAAUUGAUUGAAAGAUGCAAGCGCAUCACUAGUAGAUGGACCUGCGUUGUAUUAGCUAGUUGGUAAGGUAAGAGCUUACCAAGGCGACGAUACAUAGCCGACCUGAGAGGGUGAUCGGCCACACUGGGACUGAGACACGGCCCAGACUCCUACGGGAGGCAGCAGUAGGGAAUCUUCGGCAAUGGACGAAAGUCUGACCGAGCAACGCCGCGUGAG